UUGUACCGCGCGGCUAUUAAUAAACAUAUCCAGACAUUACGCGACUGGGGAGUAGAUGUAUUUACCGUUCCCGGGAAAGGAUAUAGCUUACCGGAACCCAUCCAGUUACUGGAUGCUGACCGUAUACAUAGCCAACUGGAUAGCGGAAAC
rnacentral:rRNA from 1 species